rnacentral:tRNA from 1 species
AGCACAGUUACAUAGUGGUCAGUAUUUCCGCUUGUCACGCGGGAGACCGGGGGUUCAAUUCCCCGCUGGAGAGCUU